UACGGAGGGUGCAAGCGUUAUCCGGAUUCACUGGGUUAAAGGGUGCGUAGGUGGGCAGGUAAGUCAGUGGUGAAAUCUCCGGGCUUAACUCGGAAACUGCCAUUGAUACUAUCUGUCUUGAAUACCGUUGGAGGUCAGCGGAAUAUGUCAUGUAGCGGUGAAAUGCGCAGAUAUCGGGAAGAACACCCGUGGCGAAGGCGGCUCUCUGGAACGCACUGAC
rnacentral:rRNA from 1 species